UACGUAGGGGGCAAGCGUUGUCCGGAUUUAUUGGGCGUAAAGAGCGUGUAGGCGGUCUGGUAGGUCCGUUGUGAAAACUCGAGGCUCAACCUCGAGACGCCGAUGGAAACCAUCAGACUAGAGUCCGGAAGAGGAGAGUGGAAUUCCUGGUGUAGCGGUGAAAUGCGUAGAUAUCGGGAGGAACACCUGUGGCGAAAGCGGCUCACUGGACCAUAACUGACGCUGAUGCACGAAAGCUGGGGGAGCAAACAGG
rnacentral:rRNA from 1 species